UACGGAGGGUGCAAGCAUUAAUCGGAUUUAUUGGGCGUAAAGGGCGCGUAGGCUGUUUGGUAAGUUGGAUGUGAAAUUCCAGAGCUCAACUCUGGAGCUGCAUUCAAAACUGCCAGACUCGAGGAUAGGCGGAGAAAACGGAAUUCCACGUGUAGCGGUGGAAUGCGUAGAUAUGUGGAAGAACACCAGUGGCGAAGGCGGUUUUCUAGCUUAUUCCUGACGCUGAGGCGCGAAAGCAAGGGGAGCAAACAGG
rnacentral:rRNA from 1 species